ACGAACGCUGGCGGCGUGCCUAAUACAUGCAAGUCGAACGCUUCUUUCCUCCCGAGUGCUUGCACUCACUUGGAAAGAGGAGUGGCGGACGGGUGAGUAACACGUGGGUAACCUACCCAUCAGAGGGGGAUAACACUUGGAAACAGGUGCUAAUACCGCAUAACAGUUUAUGCCGCAUGGCAUAAGAGUGAAAGGCGCUUUCGGGUGUCGCUGAUGGAUGGACCCGCGGUGCAUUAGCUAGUUGGUGAGGUAACGGCUCACCAAGGCCACGAUGCAUAGCCGACCUGAGAGGGUGAUCGGCCACACUGGGACUGAGACACGGCCCAGACUCCUACGGGAGGCAGCAGUAGGGAAUCUUCGGCAAUGGACGAAAGUCUGACCGAGCAACGCCGCGUGAGUGAAGAAGGUUUUCGGAUCGUAAAACUCUGUUGUUAGAGAAGAACAAGGACGUUAGUAACUGAACGUCCCCUGACGGUAUCUAACCAGAAAGACACGGCUAACUACGUG
rnacentral:rRNA from 1 species